GGACAGUCUCCAAGCUUCCUGCAAUGUGGCUAGGAGCGACAGAGCUAUGUGAUCUGACAUGAUCUUCACCGUGGUUUGGAGAGCUCCUGUGGAACAAGAGUGAAAGCAGCUGUCUCUCCUCAUCAUCCACCCCGAGAAGAGGAUCCUUUCUCUCAAUAAAUCAUAGUAGAGAAAGGUCCAUGUGGUUAUGUUUGACUAUCUGGACAAUCCAGGAUGCUCUCCCCACCUUAAUUUAAUCCAGUUUACAAGGUCUGUUUUGCCACAAAAGGUAACAUGGUGACAAUUUCCAGAGUUCAGGAUGCAGGCAUUUUAGGGGAGCCCUUUUUCCUCUGUAUCACAGUGCAUUUCUCUUUGCUUUAUAUUUAGUGAUGAAACUUCGAUGGGUUAAAAUUAGCCACAUUGAGAGUAUUUAGACACACACACACACACACACACACACACACCCUAGAAAAUGUUGCAAAUCAGGGUUUUACUCUCCUGGAAAAACUGCUGCUAAAUCUCUCUUGAAUACAUAACCUCUGGUUACAAUGGCAGGUGUAUUAUCAAACAAAGAAACAGGGAGACUGCCAUGAAUUCCAGGAGCUGCGGUAGUGAGUUUGAAAUUAGUCUAGGCCACACAGUGAGACCUUGUCUCAAAAAAGUUAAUGCAAUGGGCAGUGG
rnacentral:lncRNA from 1 species